rnacentral:rRNA from 1 species
UACGAAGGGUGCAAGCGUUACUCGGAAUUACUGGGCGUAAAGCGUGCGUAGGUGGUUUGUUAAGUCUGAUGUGAAAGCCCUGGGCUCAACCUGGGAACUGCAUUGGAAACUGGCUUACUAGAGUGCGGUAGAGGGUGGCGGAAUUCCCGGUGUAGCAGUGAAAUGCGUAGAUAUCGGGAGGAACAUCCGUGGCGAAGGCGGCCACCUGGACCAGCACUGACACUGAGGCACGAAAGCGUGGGGAGCAAACAGG